rnacentral:SRP_RNA from 1 species
GCUGGGCAUGGUGGUGGGUGCCUGUAAUCCCAGCUACUCGGGAGGCUGAGGCAGGAGAAUCGCUUGAACCCAGGAGGCAGAGGCUGCAGUGAACUGAGAUCGCACCAUUGCACUCCAGCCUGGGUGACAGAGUGAGACUCUGUCUCAA